rnacentral:rRNA from 1 species
CGAGAAUCUCUCAGCGGUGGAUGUCUGGGCUCGGACACCGAUGAAGGGCGCAGCGAAGUGCGAUGAGCAU